GAUGAACGCUAGCGGCAGGCUUAACACAUGCAAGUCGAGGGGCAGCGCGGGAUAGCAAUAUCCUGGCGGCGACCGGCGGAAGGGUGCGUAACGCGUGAGCGACAUGCCCGUUGCCCGGGGACAACCGGUGGAAACGCCGACUAAUCCCCGAUGGGAUACGAUGCUUCAUGGCAUUGUAUUGAAAGUUACGGCGGCGACGGAUUGGCUCGCGUCCGAUUAGCUGGUUGGCGGGGUAACGGCCCACCAAGGCUGCGAUCGGUAGGGGUUCUGAGAGGAAGGCCCCCCAGAAUGGGACUGAGACACGGCCCAUACUCCUACGGGAGGCAGCAGUGAGGAAUAUUGGUCAAUGGGCGGAAGCCUGAACCAGCCAUGCCGCGUGCGGGAAGGAGGCCCUAUGGGCUGUGAACCGCUUUUGCCUGGGGGCAAUAAGGGCGUCGCGCACGUCCGAUGAGAGUACCAGGCGAAUAAGCAUCGGCUAACUCCGUG
rnacentral:rRNA from 1 species